rnacentral:pre_miRNA from 1 species
GGAAUAUAAGAACCCGUCUCUUAACUUUUAACUAAAAAAAGCUAAGAACCGGUUCUUAAAUAAGAGUUUUAAGAGCCGGCUCUUAACUUUUUUAGUUAAAAGUUAAGAGACGGGUUAUUAUAUUCC